rnacentral:rRNA from 1 species
UACGUAGGGCGCAAGCGUUGUCCGGAAUUAUUGGGCGUAAAGAGUGUGUAGGCGGCCAUGCAGGUCCGUUGUGAAAACUCGAGGCUCAACCUCGAGACGCCGAUGGAAACCGCAUGGCUAGAGUCCGGAAGAGGAGUGUGGAAUUCCCGGUGUAGCGGUGAAAUGCGCAGAUAUCGGGAAGAACACCCGUGGCGAAGGCGGCACUCUGGGACGGUACUGACGCUGAGACGCGAAAGCGUGGGGAGCGAACAGG